AUACGUAGGUGGCAAGCGUUGUCCGGAAUUAUUGGGCGUAAAGGGCGUGUAGGUGGAUUUUUAAGUCGUGUGUCUAAGUGCGGGGCUCAACCCCGUAUAGGCGCAGGAAACUGGAAAUCUUGAGUGCAGGAGAGGAAAGUGGAAUUCCCAGUGUAGCGGUGAAAUGCGUAGAUAUUGGGAGGAACACCAGUGGCGAAGGCGACUUUCUGGACUGUGUCUGAUACUGAGGCGCGAAAGCCGAGGGGAGC
rnacentral:rRNA from 1 species